GAGUUUGAUCGUGGCUCAGAGCGAACGCUGGCGGCAGGCCUAACACAUGCAAGUCGAACGGGAUCCUUCGGGAUUAGUGGCGGACGGGUGAGUAACACGUGGGGAACGUGCCUUUUGGUUCGGAAUAGCUCCUGGAAACGGGUGGUAAUGCCGAAUGUGCCCUUCGGGGGAAAGAUUUAUCGCCAUUAGAGCGGCCCGCGUCUGAUUAGCUAGUUGGUGAGGUAAAGGCUCACCAAGGCGACGAUCAGUAGCUGGUCUGAGAGGAUGACCAGCCACAUUGGGACUGAGACACGGCCCAAACUCCUACGGGAGGCAGCAGUGGGGAAUCUUGCGCAAUGGGCGAAAGCCUGACGCAGCCAUGCCGCGUGAAUGAUGAAGGUCUUAGGAUUGUAAAAAUUCUUUCACCGGGGACGAUAAUGACGGUACCCGGAGAAGAAGCCCGGCUAACUCGUGCCAGCAGCCGCCGUAAG
rnacentral:rRNA from 1 species